rnacentral:lncRNA from 1 species
UUUGAUGUUUAUUAUAGAGAACUCGAAGGGUUCAAGCUGCCAGCAUGGGCAUAUCAGAAUCAGUAUGUGGUUUUAUUUGCCUUAUUUCUUUCCAAUUAUGACGUUGUUUUACCAAAAGAUCAUAUGUUCAUGUUUUGUAAUUUGUAGAGACAAAAGCAAGUCUACCUUAUUUCACUGGUAAACAAAGGCAGAGUUGUGGCCAAAGGGAAGUUAGUGACUACAAAUAGCCAAAGAGAAAUAUUAGGAGCAAAGCUUGGACCAGAAUAUUGUGGGGUUCUUGUUGAAGGCCUUGAAAAUAUUGAACUUGGCAAUAUUAUAGAUGAGGAGGUACCUAGACCAUCUAAUCAGAUUCGUACACUAAUUGAUGCUAUUGGCUAUGUUAUUCCUUGGCCAAUUACACAUGUAAGUUUCUUUUUUAUUUGAAAUAGUACAUGUGUCCCCAUAACAACUUCAAAUUGAGUUAUUGAUCUAACACAUGCUUCAUAGGUGAAGCAAGCUAGAAGCUCUGCUUGAUAUACCUAGAAUGCAGUGAGGAAGUAUUCUUGAGGUGCCAGUAGCAUAUGGGCUGACCAACGUGGCUUCCAUGCCCCAAUCUAGCACAGACUCAUAGGUAUAGCCAGGAACAUUGAACUUGGGCCAUUCCAACAGCCAAAUAUCUGUUGGGGAAAUGCUUUAAUAUGUCCAAGAACUGGAUAUUCUUUCCAGCUGAGGGUGGGUUCUAGACCUCAAUUAUACCCUCCACACUUAUCUCAACUAUACACAUACAUGUAUCUCUUUUGUCCCCUACUGCAGACAGCAAAACAACACAAUUAAAUACCUCACUGCCACUGCUCCCAAGUUAGUCCAAACUAGAUAUUUUCCCAGCAGCUAGUGAGGUCUCUAGACCUUCAGUUAAAUAUCUCUACUUUACCAUUAUCCAAAAUUCGAGUAACACUAGCAGAGAAAUCAGCAGGGAGUAAAAAGAUCACAGCUAGAUAUUUCUGCAAUUUUGGAUCUACAACUCUUGACUGAUCCACCCAUCUUCAGCUAGCCAUUUCUCUCAUUUUCUGAGUAAGACAAAUUAAUCACUAUUAAUAGAACUUAUUUAUUAGUCCAAGGUCUACCAAGUCUACAGAUUUCAUAGACCCAAACCUCCUAGAAUAGAAGUUAUGGCAUCCAAAAGUUGACUACAAAAUCUGAUUACCAUUUCUGUUUUCCUGAACCCAUUUUCAGCUUUGUUCAGUUGAUUCAUCCCCCUUUCGACAGAGGCCUUUUGGGGUGCCCAAAUCUUUCAAAUUUACACAAUGUCAAGCCAGGGUCCCUUAAUAAACUUUGCUUAUGGAUACAAUCUCUCCAACUUUGCUUAAGACAUUCUAGCACAAAGCUACACAGAACAGCCCUUACAAGCCCUCAAAGUGGAGCAGACAGACAGGUAUUCAGACUUAUACAAUUCCAAAUCUGAAAAUUCAGAAUUCAGCCACCUAGUCCAAAUUUGAGCUACUGUUACUCCUUUUUGUGUAGCACCAAACCAAUCUUACUUAAAGAAAUUUGUUCUCCUAUAUAUGGUCUUCCAUUUUGCUAUACAGCUCUUGGUCUAAAACCAUAUGGAUUAAUCACAACUGAGCUCCAAACAGAGCACCAUUGGCUGUUUUUCAGAGUUUCAGCUCUGAACCACUAAGUCCCCAAUACACUGACAGUCCAUUUUUAGGCAAGCUUUACUCCAAAUUUUGCAUGGGGUUAUGUCAAGCUCACUUAAGGAAAGUGAUUCACCAACAUAUGGUCUUCAAUCCCUUUAUGGAUCUCUCAGCCCAAAUACUUAGGGAUUAGUCACAAACAAGCGCCCAAAACUGCUAUCAAACACUAACUUCAGGUUCUGUUACUGUUGUAAGUCUGAAAACUCAGAAAUCUGCCAAUCAAUCUUUGGACUAUCUUUUCUACCAGUAGCAUAUAGCUUCGGGGCUAUAUCACUUAAUAAGAAUUGUUCUUCUAUCAUUUCUCUACGAGUUUGGUAUAGUGUUCAUUAACCACAACCCCCUGGAUUCCAAAAUAUCAAGGCCCAAAGUUGGAUCCAAAUACUGAAAUUCAGCCUCUGAAAUCUACUAAGUUUGAAAUCCAGAAACUCUGUUAGCUCUACUUUGGACUAAUUUUACUCUAAGUUCCAUAUAACUUUAGAGCUAGGUGACUUAACAAAACUUGUACUCCUCAUGUGGCCCUAUAACUUUGUUAUAAUGACCAUCUUCAAACUGUUUAUAAAUCAAAAGUUAUGAAGGCCCAAAAACAACUAGUUGAUAUUAUUUUCAGCAAACUUCAAGUCUGAUUCAAAACUGAAUUAAGCUUUUUACUCCAACUUUUCCUCUAAAACUUGGAAUUCUCCAUACAUGGAAGUUGUUCAACUUUCCAAAAUCUACAAGUCUGUUUUUGCAAAGUUUCUUUUCACCUGUUGAUUUAUUGCUCUUUGAUUCUGUGUAGUUUUUUAAGAAGAAGUACUGAAGUAGCAUGUACUCUGCUUUCAUUCAGUUGUUAAUCCGUCUCAUUUAGCCUAUAUAAACUUAAGUGAAAAGCAUUAAAACUCCCUUUUAGUUUAGUUGCCUAAUCAAUUAGCUUUCUUUUGCAACUCUAGGGUUCAGUAAUUGGUUCCUGUUCGUCUACAUUCCCUGUUAAAAUCUAAUAUUUAUAAUUUUCUUUUUCUAUAAUAAUUGAGUGAAACUAUGCCUGUAGGAGGUACAACUUGAUGGCAAUGUAGUCACAGAUUUGCCAAGUGAUCCUAUAUUGGACAACAUGGUAUGUCUAAGCUAAUUAUAUUAUUGUUUCAAUUAAAAUAUAAAGCAUAAUUGAUUAUGUGAUGCUAUGAUUUGAUGUUUAUUAUAGAGAACUCGAAGGGUUCAAGCUGCCAGCAUGGGCAUAUCAGAAUCAGUAUGUGGUUUUAUUUGCCUUAUUUCUUUCCAAUUAUGACGUUGUUUUACCAAAAGAUCAUAUGUUCAUGUUUUGUAAUUUGUAGAGACAAAAGCAAGUCUACCUUAUUUCACUGGUAAACAAAGGCAGAGUUGUGGCCAAAGGGAAGUUAGUGACUACAAAUAGCCAAAGAGAAAUAUUAGGAGCAAAGCUUGGACCAGAAUAUUGUGGGGUUCUUGUUCAAGGCCUUGAAAAUAUUGAACUUGGCAAUAUUAUAGAUGAGGAGGUACCUAGACCAUCUAAUCAGAUUCGUACACUAAUUGAUGCUAUUGGCUAUGUUAUUCCUUGGCCAAUUACACAUGUAAGUUUCUUUUUUAUUUGAAAUAGUACAUGUGUCCCCAUAACAACUUCAAAUUGAGUUAUUGAUCUAACACAUGCUUCAUAGGUGAAGCAAGCUAGAAGCUCAUCUUGUACCCGCAACAAGUUGGUACCUGCAGCACGUGGACAAAGCUAGAUGAGAAGCCUAGUAUAAUUACAAAGUGAAUCGGUUAGAUUCUAGUAGUUACUAAAAUUUUUAAGUGAUAUUUGUAUGAUAUUGCCACUUUGGCUUUGCUUCUUUGUGAACACAAUUGACAGUUACUGAACAUGUUUGCUAUCGAGUUAGUUAGCUUCUUGAUAUUUUGCCAAGGCCAAAAGCAAUAUUAU